AGUGAACGCUGGCGGUAGGCCUAACACAUGCAAGUCGAACGGCAGCACAGUAAGAGCUUGCUCUUACGGGUGGCGAGUGGCGGACGGGUGAGGAAUACAUCGGAAUCUACUUUUUCGUGGGGGAUAACGUAGGGAAACUUACGCUAAUACCGCAUACGACCUACGGGUGAAAGCAGGGGAUCUUCGGACCUUGCGCGAUUGAAUGAGCCGAUGUCGGAUAGCUAGUUGGCGGGGUAAAGGCCCACCAAGGCGACGAUCCGUAGCUGGUCUGAGAGGAUGAUCAGCCGCACUGGAACUGAGACACGGUCCAGACUCCUACGGGAGGCAGCAGUGGGGAAUAUUGGACAAUGGGCGCAAGCCUGAUCCAGCCAUACCGCGUGGGUGAAGAAGGCCUUCGGGUUGUAAAGCCCUUUUGUUGGGAAAGAAAAGCAGCAGGUUAAUACCCCGCCGUUCUGACGGUACCCAAAGAAUAAGCACCGGCUAACUUCGUG
rnacentral:rRNA from 1 species